rnacentral:miRNA from 1 species
CUGCUGUACUUUAGCCCUCC